GUGAAUCUGUGUUUGUAUGCAUAAGGGAUGCAAGGUGUGUGUCUGUAUGUGUGUGCAUGAGAUGCAUUGUGUUUCUGUGUGUAUGUAAGAAAAGAAGUGUGUGUGUUUGCAUGCGUGUGUACGGGUUUGCAUUGUCUGUUUCUGUGUAUGUGUGCAAAGGAUGCAUUGUCUUUGUGUGUAAGGGUUGCAUUGUGUGUGUGUGUGUAAUGGAUGCAUUGUGUGUUUCUCUGUGUGUAAGGGAAGCAUGUUGUGUUUCUGUGUAUGUAUAGGGAUGCAUUGUGUGUGUGUGUGUGCGCGCGUAGUGUGAAAGAGCUCCAUGUCUUGGCCCCUGUCCUAUAGAGCUGCCCCUUCUUCUUAUUCCCCUCCCUCCCCUCUUCUUAUUCCCCCCCUCUUUUUAUUCCCCCCCUAUCUUAUUCCCCCCCUCCCCUCUUCUUAUUCCCC